UACGGGGGGGGGCAAGCGUUGUUCGGAAUUACUGGGCGUAAAGGGCGCGUAGGCGGUACUUCAAGUCAGGCGUGAAAGCCCCGGGCUCAACCUGGGAACCGCGCUUGAGACUGGAGAACUAGAGUUCGGGAGAGGAUGGUGGAAUUCCCAGUGUAGAGGUGAAAUUCGUAGAUAUUGGGAAGAACACCGAUGGCGAAGGCAGCCAUCUGGACCGACACUGACACUGAGGCACGAGAGCAUGGGUAGCGAACAGG
rnacentral:rRNA from 1 species